AACCGGACGGUGACGCACAUCGCCCCCAAUGUGACGUCGGAGGCAUACCGCCGGUUGCCAACUCACAUCCCCCCUCAGUGAGUUGCCAAAGCUCAGCCAGUGCCCUUCCCUCGGCACUGGCUGUUUUG
rnacentral:sRNA from 1 species